CAAUUUUUAGCAGUUGGGCUGGCUUUUUUAUAGGUAUUAUGUUGGAUUUUUUUUUUGGAGAUAUUAUAUGAGAUCUGUCAUAAAGGCCUUCUAGCUUUCUUUUAUACCCCCAAUCUUCCUCUCAGAAUUGCACGGCAGUUGCAGAUAGACUUUAUAUGGAAUCUGUAGUGGCAAUGGCAUUAUUAGGUGUCAAACUGGCUUAAUGAUUGUCCCGGUUAUUCUUCAUAUCUCUUCGGUUUUAAUUAUCAUUCAUCUUAAUUGUAGUAAAUUCCUGAACAGGGUAAUUAUGGAAAAUUUUAUGACUUUUUAACCACCACCUAGCCUUUCGUGUGCCUGUACAGUACAACUAUGGGUCAUAUAUUAGACUUGAUUUGACUAACUAUUUCAAAUUGGACUUAUCUCAAAUCAAAGCCUUUUCCCUUUUUUUCUUUUCAGGUCCUUUUUCUGUUUAUCAUAAAGAUGGUGGUACUUCUGAGGUGUUGGUGUUAUCUGAAUUGAAUGGGAGUUGUGCUUGAUGUCCUGGCUGCUGCAGGAGUAAUAAAAUCACAUCAUUUCUGGUUGGAUGUAGAGCAUGAGAAAACCAUGUUACCCUUUUGGGGUUGCCUGCUGCCUGUGUAGGCUCAAACUUGAUGAUUUAAAUUGCUUCUUGACUAUUAUGAAAGAUCUAGAGACAUUGGAGCAUAUUAUAUUAGCUGAGCAAUUAAGAGUACUUCUGUGGUCUUCAUAUGUUGGAGGAUAUUGUGUUUCUGCUGCUGUUCUUUAGUCUUUACUGCCCUUUGUGCUGGGAAUUUGCCACCUAUACAUCAAGAGAUUUAAAUGCACACAACAUUUCAUAGAAA